rnacentral:rRNA from 1 species
CCUACGGGUGGCCGCAGUAGGGAAUUUUGCGCAAUGGGGGAAACCCUGACGCAGCGACGCCGCGUGAGUGAUGAAGUCCUUCGGGGUGUAAAGAUCUGUCAGUGGGGACGAAACAUGACGGUACCCGCAGAGGAAGCACCGGCUAACUCCGUGCCAGCAGCCGCGGUAAUACGGGGGGUGCAAGCGUUGUCCGGAAUCAUUGGGUGUAAAGGGUGCGUAGGUGGCUCUGUAAGCCUGAUGUUAAAGGCGGAGGCUCAACGUCGGGAGGGCGCUGGGUACUGGCCGGCUUGAAUGCGGGAGAGGUAAGGGGAAUUCCUGGGGUAGCGGUGAAAUGCGUAGAUAUCAGGAGGAACAUCAGUGGCGUAGGCGCUUUACUGGGCCGUAAUUGACGCUGAGGAACGAAAGCGGGGGUAGCAAAUGGGAUUAGAUACCCUUGUAGUC